UGAUUCAAUUCAAUUCAAAUAAUUUUAUUUGUCUCCAAGGGGCAGUUUAAAAGGGCAUACAAGCAGCUUAAAAAAGACAACCAAGCAAGACAUACAAUUACACACAAAAAGACAAAACAACAUAAAAAAGAACAUUGGAGGAGCUUGUAGUUCUAAAGUGCAUUUUAUUGGAGGUGCUUGUAGUUUUAAAGUGCAUUGAGGUUACAUCAUAGCAGCAUAAUUUGGGGUGAACACACAAGGGUGUUGUUAUUUAACCUUUCUAUACUGCGACAUCCAGUUCUACAAAUUAUAAUGAUGGUUUUAUGCAUCAUUAUUCAUUCCUAAUUUUUAAACUGUGUGUGUGUGUACACAAAAAACAUAAAUGCAAAGGGAAGAGAUGAGGUUAAGAUCUUUAUAAUAGUUAGAAUAGAAUAAUUUAGGCACUGGGUUACUCUACCCCCGGGUCACAUGUGGCUUUAAAGGACAAUGAUUAGGCAGUUUGAAGAGAACACUCCUUUGUUAAAUAACUAGAAAACUGUCCUGUUUGAUAAAGGAGUUGGCUCGGGUGACCUUCAACUAUCCCCUAGUAACGCAGCUACAGGCCUAAGCUGCUGAGAGACGUGUGUGUAUAAUUAGUUAACAUAAUUGGAAGCACGAUUUACUCUUGCAAAAGAAUGAAAUAUUUUCUGUAGCUUACAUGUAAGUCAGCAAUCUUCCACACGUGUAGUAUUUAGAGUAGAGAUGACCAGAACAAGAACAUCUGUGUCACUAAUUCACAUAAGGAUUCCGACAUCUUAAUAACAGUAAUGAUAGUAAUAGUUAAUAUUCAGUGGAAUAACUAAACUCUCUGUAGAUGAUCUGCAGGGGAACAUUUGGUCACUUUAAAUUGCUGUUUAUCACUUGGGCUUUUAUUUUGAAAGGUAUACUAUCAGGACUGUGUGGAGCUCUUAUGCUACUGAGCUUGUCACUAGAAGGAAAGAAACUGAUGUGCGGAGGCAGCAGCUUCAGCGUUAUAGUUGCACAGGAACCUCAGGAAAACAGCUUUCUCAUCCCCCAAAGACCACAUUUUUAGCACCCAUGGAAUCCCAAGCAAGCCCACAGCCGGUCAUUUGUGAGGUCUGUGGAACAUACUUUGAGACACGACGAGGCCUCUCCAGCCACGCCCGCCUCCAUCUACGCCAGCUCGGUGUGACGUUUUCAGAAAACAGCGGCGCUCCCAUAGAGCUCCUCUACCAGCUAUCCAGGAGAGAGACGGCUCCCUCCCGUUUUUCAAAUCGGACUCCUCCUCUGCACCUGAGUCAACACCUCACACAAAAACAUCCCAGCAGGAGACACCUUCGGUGCAAGAGGACGUGAAUACGUCCUGCAAGACGGGGGUCAGAGCCAUGAACCCUGCAAAAGAUGGAUAAUCAGGAAUCUUCAUCAAGACUGAAAGAAGUUUCUCUCCGCCCAUCAUCUCCUUCUG